GACGAACGCUGGCGGCGUGCUUAACACAUGCAAGUCGAACGGUAAGGCCCUUCGGGGUACACGAGUGGCGAACGGGUGAGUAACACGUGGGUGAUCUGCCCUGCACCUCGGGAUAAGCCUGGGAAACUGGGUCUAAUACCGGAUAGGACCACUGCCUGCAUGGGUGGUGGUGGAAAGCUUUUGCGGUGUGGGAUGGGCCCGCGGCCUAUCAGCUUGUUGGUGGGGUGAUGGCCUACCAAGGCGACGACGGGUAGCCGGCCUGAGAGGGUGACCGGCCACACUGGGACUGAGAUACGGCCCAGACUCCUACGGGAGGCAGCAGUGGGGAAUAUUGCACAAUGGGCGCAAGCCUGAUGCAGCGACGCCGCGUGAGGGAUGACGGCCCUCGGGUUGUAAACCUCUUUCAGCACCGACGAAGCGCAAGUGACGGUAGGUGCAGAAGAAGGACCGGCCAACUACGUGCCAGCCGCCGCGGUAA
rnacentral:rRNA from 1 species